rnacentral:rRNA from 1 species
CAGUCGAGCGCGAAAGGCCUUCGGGCUGAGUAGAGCGGCGGACGGGUGAGUAACGCGUAGGAAUCUACCUGGUAGUGGGGGACAACAUGGUGAAAACCAUGCUAAUACCGCAUACGCCCUAUGGGGGAAAGCGGGGGACCUUCGGGCCUCGCGCUAUCAGAUGAGCCUGCGUAGGAUUAGCUUGUUGGUGAGGUAAAGGCUCACCAAGGCGACGAUCCUUAGCUGGUCUGAGAGGAUGAUCAGCCACACUGGAACUGAGACACGGUCCAGACUCCUACGGGAGGCAGCAGUGGGGAAUAUUGCGCAAUGGGCGAAAGCCUGACGCAGCCAUGCCGCGUGUGUGAAGAAGGCCUUCGGGUUGUAAAGCACUUUCAAUUGGGAAGAAAGGUUGCGUGUUAAUAGCACGCAGCUGUGACGUUACCUUUAGAAGAAGCACCGGCUAACUCCGUGCCAGCAGCCGCGGUAAUACGGAGGGUGCGAGCGUUAAUCGGAAUUACUGGGCGUAAAGCGCGCGUAGGCGGUUUGUUAAGUCGGAUGUGAAAUCCCCGGGCUCAACCUGGGAAUGGCAUUCGAUACUGGCCGACUAGAGUACGAGAGAGGGAGGUAGAAUUCCACGUGUAGCGGUGAAAUGCGUAGAUAUGUGGAGGAAUACCGGUGGCGAAGGCGGCCUCCUGGCUCGAUACUGACGCUGAGGUGCGAAAGCGUGGGUAGCAAACAGGAUUAGAUACCCUGGUAGUCCACG